rnacentral:rRNA from 1 species
UUAAGUGACUAAGCGUACACGGUGGAUGCCUAGGCAGUCAGAGGCGAUGAAGGGCGUGCUAAUCUGCGAAAAGCGUCGGUAAGGUGAUAUGAACCGUUACAACCGGCGAUACCCGAAUGGGGAAACCCAGUGUGUUUCGACACACUAUCAUGUCAUGAAUACAUAGUGGCAUGAGGCGAACCGGGGGAACUGAAACAUCUAAGUACCCCGAGGAAAAGAAAUCAACCGAGAUUCCCCCAGUAGCGGCGAGCGAACGGGGAGGAGCCCAGAACCUGAAUCGGCUUGUGUGUUAGUGGAAGCGUCUGGAAAGUCGCGCAGCAAAGGGUGAUAGCCCCGUACACUAAAAUGCACAGGUCGUGAGUUCGAUGAGUAGGGCGGGACACGUGACAUCCUGUCUGAAUAUGGGGGGACCAUCCUCCAAGGCUAAAUACUCCUGACUGACCGAUAGUGAACCAGUACCGUGAGGGAAAGGCGAAAAGAACCCCGGCGAGGGGAGUGAAAUAGAACCUGAAACCGUGUACGUACAAGCAGUGGGAGCACCUUCGUGGUGUGACUGCGUACCUUUUGUAUAAUGGGUCAGCGACUUAUAUUUUGUAGCAAGGUUAACCGUAUAGGGGAGCCGUAGGGAAACCGAGUCUUAACUGGGCGAAUAGUUGCAAGGUAUAGACCCGAAACCCGGUGAUCUAGCCAUGGGCAGGUUGAAGGUUGGGUAACACUAACUGGAGGACCGAACCGACUAAUGUUGAAAAAUUAGCGGAUGACUUGUGGCUGGGGGUGAAAGGCCAAUCAAACCGGGAGAUAGCUGGUUCUCCCCGAAAGCUAUUUAGGUAGCGCCUCGUGAACUCAUCUUCGGGGGUAGAGCACUGUUUCGGCUAGGGGGCCAUCCCGGCUUACCAAACCGAUGCAAACUCCGAAUACCGAAGAAUGUUAUCACGGGAGACACACGGCGGGUGCUAACGUCCGUCGUGAAGAGGGAAACAACCCAGACCGCCAGCUAAGGUCCCAAAGUCAUGGUUAAGUGGGAAACGAUGUGGGAAGGCACAGACAGCCAGGAUGUUGGCUUAGAAGCAGCCAUCAUUUAAAGAAAGCGUAAUAGCUCACUGGUCGAGUCGGCCUGCGCGGAAGAUGUAACGGGGCUAAACCAUGCACCGAAGCUGCGGCAGCGACGCUUAGGCGUUGUUGGGUAGGGGAGCGUUCUGUAAGCCGUUGAAGGUGGCCUGUGAGGGUUGCUGGAGGUAUCAGAAGUGCGAAUGCUGACAUAAGUAACGAUAAAGCGGGUGAAAAGCCCGCUCGCCGGAAGACCAAGGGUUCCUGUCCAACGUUAAUCGGGGCAGGGUGAGUCGACCCCUAAGGCGAGGCUGAAAAGCGUAGUCGAUGGGAAACAGGUUAAUAUUCCUGUACUUGGUGUUACUGCGAAGGGGGGACGGAGAAGGCUAGGCUGGCCGGGCGACGGUUGUCCCGGUUUAAGCGUGUAGGGGGUGUGACCUGGUAAAUCCGGUUGCAUAUCAACCCUGAGGCGUGAUGACGAUGCACUACGGUGCAGAAGUAGUUGAUGCCCUGCUUCCAGGAAAAUCCUCUAAGCUCCAGGUAACAUUAAAUCGUACCCCAAACCGACACAGGUGGUCAGGUAGAGAAUACCAAGGCGCUUGAGAGAACUCGGGUGAAGGAACUAGGCAAAAUGGUGCCGUAACUUCGGGAGAAGGCACGCUGGCAUGUAGGUGAAGUCCCUUGCGGAUGGAGCUGAAGCCAGUCGAAGAUACCAGCUGGCUGCAACUGUUUAAUAAAAACACAGCACUGUGCAAACACGAAAGUGGACGUAUACGGUGUGACGCCUGCCCGGUGCUGGAAGGUUAAUUGAUGGGGUCAGCCGCAAGGCGAAGCUCUUGAUCGAAGCCCCAGUAAACGGCGGCCGUAACUAUAACGGUCCUAAGGUAGCGAAAUUCCUUGUCGGGUAAGUUCCGACCUGCACGAAUGGCGUAAUGAUGGCCAGGCUGUCUCCACCCGAGACUCAGUGAAAUUGAACUCGCUGUGAAGAUGCAGUGUACCCGCGGCAAGACGGAAAGACCCCGUGAACCUUUACUAUAGCUUGACACUGAACAUUGAGCCUUGAUGUGUAGGAUAGGUGGGAGGCUUUGAAGCGUGGACGCCAGUCUGCGUGGAGCCAUCCUUGAAAUACCACCCUUUAAUGUUUGAUGUUCUAACUCUGCCCCAUAAUCUGGGGUGAGGACAGUGUCUGGUGGGUAGUUUGACUGGGGCGGUCUCCUCCCAAAGAGUAACGGAGGAGCACGAAGGUUAGCUAAUCACGGUCGGACAUCGUGAGGUUAGUGCAAAGGCAUAAGCUAGCUUGACUGCGAGAGUGACGGCUCGAGCAGGUACGAAAGUAGGUCUUAGUGAUCCGGUGGUUCUGAAUGGAAGGGCCAUCGCUCAACGGAUAAAAGGUACUCCGGGGAUAACAGGCUGAUACCGCCCAAGAGUUCAUAUCGACGGCGGUGUUUGGCACCUCGAUGUCGGCUCAUCACAUCCUGGGGCUGAAGUAGGUCCCAAGGGUAUGGCUGUUCGCCAUUUAAAGUGGUACGCGAGCUGGGUUUAGAACGUCGUGAGACAGUUCGGUCCCUAUCUGCCGUGGGCGUUGGAAGAUUGAGAGGGGUUGCUCCUAGUACGAGAGGACCGGAGUGAACGCACCACUGGUGUUCGGGUUGUCAUGCCAAUGGCAUUGCCCGGUAGCUAAGUGCGGAAAAGAUAAGCGCUGAAAGCAUCUAAGCGCGAAACUUGCCUCAAGAUGAGUCUUCCCUUGGACUUUGAGUCCACUGAAGGAACGUUUAAGACUAAGACGUUGAUAGGCUGGGUGUGUAAGUGCAGCGAUGCAUUGAGCUAACCAGUACUAAUGAUCCGUGAGGCUUAACCUU